rnacentral:rRNA from 1 species
AACGAACGCUGGCGGCAUGCCUAACACAUGCAAGUCGAACGAGACCUUCGGGUCUAGUGGCGCACGGGUGCGUAACGCGUGGGAAUCUGCCCUUGGGUUCGGAAUAACAGUUAGAAAUGACUGCUAAUACCGGAUAAUGACGUAAGUCCAAAGAUUUAUCGCCAAAGGAUGAGCCCGCGUAGGAUUAGCUUGUUGGUGAGGUAAAGGCUCACCAAGGCGACGAUCCUUAGCUGGUCUGAGAGGAUGAUCAGCCACACUGGGACUGAGACACGGCCCAGACUCCUACGGGAGGCAGCAGUGGGGAAUAUUGGACAAUGGGCGAAAGCCUGAUCCAGCAAUGCCGCGUGAGUGAUGAAGGCCUUAGAGUUGUAAAGCUCUUUUACCCGGGAUGAUAAUGACAGUACCGGGAGAAUAAGCCCCGGCUAACUCCGUGCCAGCCGCCGCUGUAAGAC